UUCCCUACGGGAGGCAGCAGUGGGGGAUAUUGCACAAUGGGGGGAACCCUGAUGCAGCGACGCCGCGUGGGUGAAGAAGCGCCUCGGCGCGUAAAGCCCUGUCAGCAGGGAAGAAAAUGACGGUACCUGAAGAAGAAGCCCCGGCUAACUACGUGCCAGCAGCCGCGGUAAUACGUAGGUGGCGAGCGUUAUCCGGAAUGAUUGGGCGUAAAGGGUGCGCAGGCGGUCCUGCAAGUCUGGAGUGAAACGCAUGAGCUCAACUCAUGCAUGGCUUUGGAAACUGGAGGACUGGAGAGCAGGAGAGG
rnacentral:rRNA from 1 species